GAGUCACGUGAUGCAUGUCAUGGCCGCCUCCAUGGCCCGGGGAGGCGUGAGUGCCAGGGUUCUACUGCAGGCUGCCAGGGGCACCUGGUGGAACAGACCUGGGGGCACUUCCGGGUCGGGGGAGGGGGUGGCGCUGGGGACAACCAGAAAGUUUCAAGCGACAGGCUCGCGCCCGGCUGGAGAGGAGGACGCGGGCGGCCCGGAGCGGCCCGGGGACGUGGUGAACGUGGUGUUCGUAGACCGCUCAGGCCAGCGGAUCCCAGUGAGUGGCAGAGUCGGGGACAAUGUUCUUCACCUGGCCCAGCGCCACGGGGUGGACCUGGAAGGGGCCUGUGAAGCCUCCCUGGCCUGCUCCACCUGCCAUGUGUAUGUGAGUGAAGACCACCUGGAUCUCCUGCCUCCUCCCGAGGAGAGGGAAGACGACAUGCUAGACAUGGCCCCCCUCCUCCAGGAGAACUCGCGGCUGGGCUGCCAGAUUGUGCUGACACCGGAGCUGGAAGGAGCGGAAUUCACCCUGCCCAAGAUCACCAGGAACUUCUACGUGGAUGGCCAUGUCCCCAAGCCCCACUGACAUGAACACCUGGACCAUUCCACAUUGCCAUGGCCCCAGGGCCCAGAUUGAGGGAAUAGCCAGGUGCCAGCCCUGCCCAGAGUGCGGACAGGCCCGGGAGAGACGUGGAAGCCCCUGUGAAGGACAACACCCCUGCUUGGGAGAGAGUCCCAUGUCCAGGCUCUGGUGGGGACAGGGCCCCUAGUGGGGUGGCCUUCCCCAGGCCCCUGAGAAUCAGGGUUUGAGUAGGAGUGGACUCAUAUUGGAGCUGCAAUAAAUCGAUAACACAGGCCCCAGCAUGUUGAGUGUCCUUGGGGGACAGAUCUGGGGUCUACAGGUGGCUCACACCUGUAAUCCUAGCACUUUGGGAAGCCAAGAUGGGAGGAUCACUUGAGGCCAGGAGCUUAAGACCAUCCUGGGCAACAUGGCGAGACCUCGUCUCUAUAAAAACAGUAAAAAUUAGCGUGGAGUGGUGGUAAGUGCCUGUAGUCCCAGCUACUCGGGAGACUGAGGUGGGAGGAUCACUUGAGCCCAGGGGAUUUAGGCUGCAGUGGAGCGGUGAUCAGGCCAUUCCACUCCAGCCUGGGUGACAGAGUGAGGCCCUGUCUCAAAAAAAAAAAAAACAAAAACAAAAACAAACCACACCUGCAUCUGCUGUGCUGGGCCCCCGGUUCUCUUUUCCCUCUGGGAUCUAAGAUGCCGCUGGGGAUCCAAGGCAGAGGCCUGGGAGCCCCCAUUUCCGAGGGGGAGGGCUAGCGUGGAAGGCCCCGCCCCGGCAGCUGCGGAGGGAUUUGGUGGGGUCCAGGCCGCCCUUGCCACGCAGGGGUGCGCGGAUGACCUGAAAAAAGCCAGAAAGAGGAAAGGUGCCGCCGAGGCUGGUCGCUCUCAGCUGGGGCUCAUCGCAUCCUCUACCAAGAGCGCUCCCACCACACAGGUCCCGCCCCUCCCAGGUGGGUUUCAUCGGGUGGGCCCAGCGGGACAGGGCCGGGUGAAAUUAGGGAGGGGGCUGGGCUGGGGCGCAAUGGAGGCCGAGCCAAUCCCGGACUCCUCAAUGCCAGCAAAGCUUCUGGCGCCGCCCUGUCUGAACCUGGAGCGGCUGGGAGGAUCCCCCUCCCAGGAGAAGCCGAGGACCCCAGGAUGCUGCAGAAUCAGUGAGAGGUGCGUAAGGCCAAACCCCAUUCCCCGGACCCCGCUAGCACUUCACCACCUGGCUCAGUGAUCAAGGGGUCAUGACCUCUCUUUGCUGGGGUUAUCGAGAAGUGGCAAUUUUAUAAUAGUUACUGAAACUUACAAAGAGGUUCUGGUGCCCAGAGACACUUGGGGUCAUCUAGGGAUCAGAGGCCAUGCAAUUCCAUGUCUCUGGGGCUGAUGUAGGCACUCCCCAGGGAUCAUCCAGGGGUUAUGGAGGGCAACUCAAUAAUAAUGAAAAUGAUAAAAAUCGUAAUCAUAUUAUGGCAAGCCAGCGGCGUGGUGGCGCGUGCCUGUAAGUCCCAGCUACUCGGGAGGCUGAGGCGGAAGGAUCGGUCGAGCCCAGGAGUUCUAGGCUGCACUGAGUCCUGAUCACGCCCCUGCACUCCAGGCGGGGGUACAGAGUGAGGCUCGGUCUCUAAAAGAAACACAAAGAAAAAAAGUAACCUUUUUCUCGAUCCUGCAGCCAGAGGCUUGAUAUCCUGCCUCGGUCACCUAGGGCGGUCCCUGCCUGGGUGAUCUACGGGUGCCGUAAGGGGUUGAUUGAUGUGGAGGGCUGGGCGUGCCUGGGAGGCCCACAGUGGGCGAGGUGAGUUGCAAUUACUGCAACUCUUAAACCUUCCACCCAGAGUUAGAAAUGACUGAACCUCAGGUGGGGUGUGUAGCCUGUCCAAGGGUACACAAAGAGCCGGCCCAAGUUGGAACCCCCUGGCCGGCUAAACCCAGGAGUCACCCAAGAAAACGUGACCCCACUGCCCUUCUCCCCAGGUCCCUCUGGCCUGCAUGCCAGGAGUCGGUCACCGCCCUGUGCUUCCUCCAAGAGACAGUGGAGAGGCUGGGUCAGUCCCCUGCCCAGGACACCCCGGUCCUGGGGCCUUGCUGGGACCCGAUGGCUCUGGGGACUCAGGGCCGCCUGCUGCUGGACAGGGAUUCCAAGGACACACAGACCAGGAUCAGCCAAAAGGGCCGCCGUCUGCAGCCCCCGGGGACUCCCUCGGCCCCACCCCAGAGAAGGCCCCGGAAACAGCUGAACCCCUGCCGGGGCACCGAGAGAGUGGACCCUGGGUUCGAGGGGGUGACUCUGAAGUUUCAGAUAAAGCCGGACUCCAGCCUGCAGAUCAUCCCCACGUACAGCCUGCCCUGCAGUAGCCGUUCUCAGGAAUCCCCUGCAGAUGCUGUUGGGGGCCCUGCAGCCCACCCAGGAGGCACCGAGGCCCACUCAGCAGGCAGCGAGGCCCUGGAGCCCCGGCGCUGUGCUUCCUGUCGGACCCAGAGGACCCCGCUCUGGAGAGACGCUGAAGAUGGGACCCCUCUCUGCAACGCCUGUGGGAUCAGGUACAAGAAAUACGGCACUCGCUGCUCCAGCUGCUGGCUGGUGCCCAGGAAAAAUGUCCAGCCCAAGAGGCUAUGUGGCAGAUGUGGAGUGUCCCUGGACCCCAUUCAGGAAGGUUAAACCCAGCUUCACCCUGCUGAGCUGCUGCUUCUGCCUCCGUUUCACCAGUGGGAGAAUGGGCAGAAGCAGCUCUCCUAGGAGGAUUGGGGAAAGAGCCGGCCUGCCUCCUCUCUGCCAUCUCCAGAUUCAAGGAUCCCGGGGGAAGACCCAGGCCUCAGGUGGCAGAGCCUGCUAGGGGUCACCAGCCCCUUCUCCAGUCAGCCUUGGCCGAGGCCCCCUCAGGAGACGCUCUCAGGAAGGAUGAGCAUUGUUACAGCAGGGACAAUAAAGUACAGAGAUAUGCCGAGA